rnacentral:lncRNA from 1 species
CAUUGUUGGGUUGAUGUUUAGACGAGUUGUAUAUACAUAAUGUACACAGACAUGUAUCACCAUCACUGCUGGUGAUCCGAUGGAUAAAUCUGUUGUAGAGUUGUCACUGGCUCAGACGUACUUAUAAAUAUAAUUAUUUUCUGUGACUGUAUCUUACAUUGAUUUGUAGGAUCCUUUACUAUAGAUAAUUUAGCUGAUCUGUAAAAAUAACAUCUCCAUGCCUUAUAUAUCAUGUACUGUAGUACGACGCUAGAUUAAAACGGGCGUGGAAAGGUAACACCAGGCCACCGACAGCUUCAUUUUUAUGAAGCCCAGGUGGUCGUGUGGUCUAGCGGGAC